rnacentral:misc_RNA from 1 species
GAUGAAGAACGUAGCGAAAUGCGAUACGUAAUACGAAUUGCAGAUUCAGUGAAUCAUCGAGUCUUUGAACGCACAUUGCGCCCCCUGGUAUUCCGGGGGGCAUGCCUGUCCGAGCGUCAUUGCUGCCCUCAAGCACGGCUUGUGUGUUGGGCCUCCGUCCUCCUCCCGGGGGACGGGCCCGAAAGGCAGCGGCGGCACCGCGUCCGGUCCUCGAGCGUAUGGGGCUUCGUCACCCGCUCUUGUAGGCCCGGCCGGCGCUUGCCGACACAUCAAUCUUUUUUCCAGGUUGACCUCGGAUCAGGUAGGGAUACCCGCUGAACUUAAGCAUAUCAAUAAGCGGAGGA